rnacentral:lncRNA from 1 species
CAGACCUGCUGUAUUAAUCUACACAUUCAGUCAGAGAAGCAUGAAUUCCCAAGUACGUUAAGAAAGGAACAGGAGAGAAGAAUUCAGUGAUGUCUUCAAUGGAGAUGUAUUUACACAGCAUAAGGAUGAACUAGAAAAAAAGGAUGGAACCAUCUACUGCUGUUGUUCUGUGACAGGGGUCAAUAUUCCAGAUGCCCCAAAAGAGAAUAAAUCUAAGUGUUUGAAUCUGGUCUCUAUGCAUUACUAUUGGAGAAAUUUACAGUCCUUGAAAGAAUCAGAGAAACUUUAAAAAGAGGUGUGGAUUUUGGCUGGGAUCUGGGAGGGAAGCAGAGGAAAGCCAGACUGCCAUUAAUGUCAGCCAAUGAUGGAAGUGUUCCACAUUGCCCUGAGGAAGGAUCUGCCUGUUGUAUUUUCCGUUAUCCUUAAAGGGCUGAACCUACUUCCAGCUUGAGUAUCUCAGGGCAAUGCAACCAUACAGCGCAUGUGUAUUUCAUGAAAGAUUGAUACUUUAAUUUAUGUUAAGGAACUUGUUAGUGCAAGCUGCUAUGCUACAAACUGGGACCUUUUCCAAUACGAAUGCUGGAGAGCAAUGCAUCCACAUGUGAUUUUUCUCUCUAGAGUGUUUUGUCCCU